GAAAUGUGCUCGCUAGGAUGUCGCAUCCUAUGCAUACGUAUCUUCUCGGACUAAGAAGAAUCAGAGCACUCGUAGCUCGGCUAACGCACGCCAAACAAAACAACACAGGAAAUCGACUGCCAAUCGCUGGACUUACGUCAAACUCCACACAAAUAGGCAAACAUGGAAACCGAAUGCCAAUCGCUGGACUUACAUCAGAC
rnacentral:lncRNA from 1 species